UUGUUUUUGAACAAGAAAGGUUGAGCGGGAUGUUGCGAUGGAUGUUGAGUGAGCUUUAGGAAUUCUCGGAUGCGUCGUAUCUUCAUACAUGGGCGUCGUCUUAUGACUCUCUUUUGAUACUUGUUUUUCCGCCGCCGUGUUUGAAAUUAUUUCCUAGAAGUCUUCCGCACUAUUUAAUACUGUUUUAUGACAUUGAGUAUCUUGAGACUAAAAUUUUUUGCUUAACUUUUUAAUAAGCUAAAAUAUUUCUUUUGAAGUUAA